GUCUUGAUUAAAAAUCAAGGCGAAGUUUAUGGACUUUAAAGUUAUGAAGGGAAAUAGCGUGUCAGGUGAUGAUACUCACUGACGGUCGAAUGGACAACUUCUCAAAAAACCGGAGCAUCUCCUGGACCCGGAUAAACUGCAUCUUCAGCAUUUUCCUAACAGCAGGUACCAUAAUCUCACACAAUAUUCUAGAUAUAUCUUUAAUAUUACAGAAGUUAAGGUUCAUUGUCUUUAAUACGUUUGUCUUUGACUAAAAAACAAUAAUUGGGGCAAAAAUCCAAGUUUUGUCUUAUUUGUUGGUUUUGAAAGGUUGAAACCGACUUGUAGUUUUACUUUGUGGCGUGCAGAAACGGCUAACAAGUCAGCAUAACCAUUGUUCAUGCUACAUGGAGCAGAAAAUGUUCACGCACUCCUUCGCCUGAGGUGUGAGGUUCACAACUCUUUUUUAACUAUCAGUUUUUGCAGCAGAGAAGCAGAUAGAGAUCUCAACGGUGGUCGGCUCCUCAGUGACACUGCACUGUGCCAAUGAUUCAACUGGCGACCUCACUGGAGUGUUGUGGAGAACGGACAAUUCUACCAUUUUCACAUAUGUUCCAGACAAAAACUCAAAUGUUUCGCCAAUCGCCGACUUCAACAGAAAAAUGUUCUUAUCCGAGAGUGAGCUGUAUGCACUGGUCAUCGAUAAUGUCCAGAAGUCUGACGCCGAAAACUACACGUGUGCGAUCAACACAAAUAAAGGAUUUUGGGAAUUACGUUAUAAAGUCAUUGUUAAAGAUGAAGAUGGGAGGAAAGUUGAUUGCCUAACUCCAGUGUUGGCUACUGUUCCCUUUGUUUUCCUCCUGAUGCUUAUACUUACCUGGAUCCUGCUGAGAAAAUGCUGAAAACAACACAAGGAGUAAGUAAAGAUUUUACACUUUUGUCUUAAACUUCUAAAAGGAAACUGUCCGGUACAAGAUCGGUAAAUAAAAUCCUGAUAUGUGAAGACUGAGUCA
rnacentral:lncRNA from 1 species